rnacentral:hammerhead_ribozyme from 1 species
GCGCUGCUGAUGGGUUCCAAACAGGACGAAACAGCUGUCCAGUGC